rnacentral:rRNA from 1 species
AACGAACGCUGGCGGCAUGCCUAACACAUGCAAGUCGAACGAGACCUGCGGGUCUAGUGGCGCACGGGUGCGUAACGCGUGGGAACCUGCCCUUAGGUUCGGAAUAACUCCCCGAAAGGGGUGCUAAUACCGGAUAAUGUCUUCGGACCAAAGAUUUAUCGCCUUUGGAUGGGCCCGCGUUGGAUUAGCUAGUUGGUAGGGUAAAAGCCUACCAAGGCGACGAUCCAUAGCUGGUCUGAGAGGAUGAUCAGCCACACUGGGACUGAGACACGGCCCAGACUCCUACGGGAAGCAGCAGUGGGGAAUAUUGCACAAUGGGCGAAAGCCUGAUCCAGCAAUGCCGCGUGAGUGAUGAAGGCCUUAGGGUUGUAAAGCUCUUUUACCCGGGAUGAUAAUGACAGUACCGGGAGAAUAAGCUCCGGCUAACUCCGUG